GACGAACGCUGGCGGCGUGCCUAAUACAUGCAAGUAGAACGCUGAAGGAGGAGCUUGCUUCUCCGGAUGAGUUGCGAACGGGUGAGUAACGCGUAGGUAACCUGCCUGGUAGCGGGGGAUAACUAUUGGAAACGAUAGCUAAUACCGCAUAACAGUAGAUGUUGCAUGACAUUUGCUUAAAAGGUGCAAUUGCAUCACUACCAGAUGGACCUGCGUUGUAUUAGCUAGUUGGUGAGGUAACGGCUCACCAAGGCGACGAUACAUAGCCGACCUGAGAGGGUGAUCGGCCACACUGGGACUGAGACACGGCCCAGACUCCUACGGGAGGCAGCAGUAGGGAAUCUUCGGCAAUGGACGGAAGUCUGACCGAGCAACGCCGCGUGAGUGAAGAAGGUUUUCGGAUCGUAAAGCCCUGUUGUAAGAGAAGAACGAGUGUGAGAGUGGAAAGUUCACACUGUGACGGUAUCUUACCAGAAAGGGACGGCUAACUACGUG
rnacentral:rRNA from 1 species